UCCUUUGGGAAGAUUUGGAGAGAAUUGCAAGAAUGAGUGCAGUGUUAAUUGUGGGCUACCUGGAACUUGUGAUGGUGUGACUGGGCAAUGUACUGGGGGUUGUCAGAAAGGAUGGACUGGUCGGACUUGUGACAAAAGUAAACAGGUUGAAAGGAUUGUAGAAUCAAGCACGCCACUGUCUUCCUCUGUUGUUUAUGUAGUAGUCACCGUUCUAUGCCUGAGUGUUCUACUCAACGGAAUUGUAAUUGCCUGGAUUUUCAUAGAUGUGAUCUGUAGACAGAUAUCAUCUCAGACAAAAUCGAGAAAUGAGUUAUCCACAAAAGAAGACACAAUUAAAACAAAACCCCGAAAGGAAGAAAGUAAUGACGAAUAUGAAGAACUUGGACAAAUAAGUCAUGCGACCAAUUGCAAUUAUGAUCAAGUCUGAAAGUGUGAUCGCAUCAAAAGUUAUACAAGCAAGCUUAAGAAAACGAGAAACUCUUGUUUAUAUUUUAGAAAUUGCCACAUUUAAACAAAAUAUGUAUUUUAUUUCAACUAUUGCAUUAUGGUCAACUUCACUAUAUAAAGAUUCGAGACAAUUUAUGUUUCUUCAAGGAAAAUAGUGUGGACUUGUUUUGCUCUCUAUGCUAAUAUACUGAAGUUAGAGUUCAGGCAUUCGUGUAAUGUUUUCUUUAACCAAGAACAACACUAAAUGACAAUUGGUUCAAAGACACAUUGUAUUUAAAAACAGCUUUGAGAGAGGCCAAGGCUUACUUAAAUUUUCCAAAUUUCUUACAGAAUCUUUUGUCCAGUUAACAGAAUAGGGGGAAGUCUGACCAUUCAAAUUAUUUAAUUUACAGAUUAGUUUUAGGGUUAUUUCUAAAUUAUUAUUAGUUUGAAAACAUAUCAUAUAUCUAUCGCUGAAUACAGACCCAAACUUCUUAUAAAUAACUAGAAAAAAAUAUUGUUUCCGAUUUAAUUUUCAAUACAUAAAAGGAAUUCAAACAAUCAUAAGUAGCGAGGUCUUUGAAAGAUCCACGAAUAAUUACGUCCUUAUUCAGACAAGAAGAGCAUUAUUAAAAUAUUUCUUAUUUGAAAUUUUAUUGAUCUUAAAUGAUUUUUUUUUCAUGUCAGUUUGACAAAUGUUGCAUACGACCACUAAUUCAUCUGAUACAACAAUUCUUUAAAGAACCUAUAAAUACGCGUACUUGUUCAAUAUUUCAAGAAUGGAUGCUAAUUAUCGGGUAGGGUUAAAAACCACAGAUUUUCUUUUUUUCACCUAUAACCUCUCUCUCUCUCUUAAAACGUGUUUAGAUUGUAGGCUACAUGUGUUGGUUAUAGCCCAGUAAAGUUUUCAUUAAGUUGAUUUAGAUUCCAGUUUAACUUUGUAAGUUUAAUAUUUAACUCUUUACAACUUACUGAACUAUGACGCACCAUACACUUAAUGUUCACGUCAUAGAAAUAUGACGUUACCUUUUCCCCGCAAGCACUUUAUAGCGAGGUACGUUUCUCUAAGGUUAGCGUAAAUAAUUGAUGUAAUAUUUUAAUAAGAUUAUGACAUUUCUUAUUUUAUGAGUUUUUUAGCAAGUAUAAAUUAGAAGGGAAAUGGCAUUAAAUUGAAGAUUAAAUUUACUUUUGAAAGUGCGUGAAAAUGCGUGAUUGCGGGGAAACGGUAUAUGCGUGAUUUUGCGUUAGAAAUAGGAAAUGGUAUAUGCGUUAAGAUGCGUGACUGCGGGAAAGAGGGUUAAUAUAUGCUCUGUAUAAUGUUAUUUUAAACCUCUAGCAUUGGUUGUUACCGAAUUAUCAAAACGUUUAGAAACACACAAAACACAAUUUAUGAUAUAUAUACUAGUAUGUGAACAUAUUAUAAACAUACUUCAAUUAAAGAUCUAGUACAUGAAGGAUGCGUAUUGUCUCCUUUAAUGAUGCUUACUUAGUUUAGUAUAGGUAAAUGCAAUGAAGCUGGAUAUAACGUUUAGGUGAUCACAUCUAAAAAUGUGUUUUUCAUUGUCAUUUUCACUAGAAAUAAAGAA